rnacentral:rRNA from 1 species
UACGGAGGAUCCAAGCGUUAUCCGGAAUCAUUGGGUUUAAAGGGUCCGUAGGCGGUUUAAUAAGUCAGUGGUGAAAGCCCAUCGCUCAACGGUGGAACGGCCAUUGAUACUGUUAGACUUGAAUUAUUAGGAAGUAACUAGAAUAUGUAGUGUAGCGGUGAAAUGCUUAGAGAUUACAUGGAAUACCAAUUGCGAAGGCAGGUUACUACUAAUGGAUUGAACG